rnacentral:rRNA from 1 species
CUGCGAUAAGCGCCGGUAAGGUGAUAUGAACCGUUAUAACCGGCGAUACCCGAAUGGGGAAACCCAGUGUGACUCGUCACACUAUCAUUAACUGAAUCCAUAGGUUAAUGAGGCGAACCGGGGGAACUGAAACAUCUAAGUACCCCGAGGAAAAGAAAUCAACCGAGAUUCCCCCAGUAGCGGCGAGCGAACGGGGAGGAGCCCAGAGCCUGAAUCAGCAUGUGUGUUAGUGGAAGCGUCUGGAAAGGCGCGCGAUACAGGGUGACAGCCCCGUACACAAAAGCGCAUGUGCUGUGAGCUCGAUGAGUAGGGCGGGACACGUGGUAUCCUGUCUGAAUAUGGGGGGACCAUCCUCCAAGGCUAAAUACUCCUGACUGACCGAUAGUGAACCAGUACCGUGAGGGAAAGGCGAAAAGAACCCCGGCGAGGGGAGUGAAAAAGAACCUGAAACCGUGUACGUACAAGCAGUGGGAGCACAGGUUUACCUGUGUGACUGCGUACCUUUUGUAUAAUGGGUCAGCGACUUAUAUUCUGUAGCAAGGUUAACCGAAUAGGGGAGCCGGAGGGAAACCGAGUCUUAAUUGGGCGUUAAGUUGCAGGGUAUAGACCCGAAACCCGGUGAUCUAGCCAUGGGCAGGUUGAAGGUUGGGUAACACUAACUGGAGGACCGAACCGACUAAUGUUGAAAAAUUAGCGGAUGACCUGUGGCUGGGGGUGAAAGGCCAAUCAAACCGGGAGAUAGCUGGUUCUCCCCGAAAGCUAUUUAGGUAGCGCCUCGUGAAUUCAUCUCCGGGGGUAGAGCACUGUUUCGGCUAGGGGGCCAUCCCGGCUUACCAACCCGAUGCAAACUGCGAAUACCGGAGAAUGUUAUCACGGGAGACACACGGCGGGUGCUAACGUCCGUCGUGAAGAGGGAAACAACCCAGACCGCCAGCUAAGGUCCCAAAGUCAUGGUUAAGUGGGAAACGAUGUGGGAAGGCCCAGACAGCCAGGAUGUUGGCUUAGAAGCAGCCAUCAUUUAAAGAAAGCGUAAUAGCUCACUGGUCGAGUCGGCCUGCGCGGAAGAUGUAACGGGGCUAAACCAUGCACCGAAGCUGCGGCAGCGACACUGUGUGUUGUUGGGUAGGGGAGCGUUCUGUAAGCCUGUGAAGGUGUGUCGUGAGGCAUGCUGGAGGUAUCAGAAGUGCGAAUGCUGACAUAAGUAACGAUAAAGCGGGUGAAAAGCCCGCUCGCCGGAAGACCAAGGGUUCCUGUCCAACGUUAAUCGGGGCAGGGUGAGUCGACCCCUAAGGCGAGGCCGAAAGGCGUAGUCGAUGGGAAACGGGUUAAUAUUCCCGUACUUGGUGUUACUGCGAAGGGGGGACGGAGAAGGCUAUGUUGGCCGGGCGACGGUUGUCCCGGUUUAAGCGUGUAGGUGUGUGUUCCAGGUAAAUCCGGUUCACUUUAACACUGAGGCGUGACGACGAGGCACUACGGUGCUGAAGCAACAAAUGCCCUGCUUCCAGGAAAAGCCUCUAAGCAUCAGGUAACAUCAAAUCGUACCCCAAACCGACACAGGUGGUCAGGUAGAGAAUACCAAGGCGCUUGAGAGAACUCGGGUGAAGGAACUAGGCAAAAUGGUGCCGUAACUUCGGGAGAAGGCACGCUGACACGUAGGUGAAGUGAUUUACUCAUGGAGCUGAAGUCAGUCGAAGAUACCAGCUGGCUGCAACUGUUUAUUAAAAACACAGCACUGUGCAAACACGAAAGUGGACGUAUACGGUGUGACGCCUGCCCGGUGCCGGAAGGUUAAUUGAUGGGGUCAGCGCAAGCGAAGCUCCUGAUCGAAGCCCCGGUAAACGGCGGCCGUAACUAUAACGGUCCUAAGGUAGCGAAAUUCCUUGUCGGGUAAGUUCCGACCUGCACGAAUGGCGUAAUGAUGGCCAGGCUGUCUCCACCCGAGACUCAGUGAAAUUGAACUCGCUGUGAAGAUGCAGUGUACCCGCGGCAAGACGGAAAGACCCCGUGAACCUUUACUAUAGCUUGACACUGAACAUUGAGCCUUGAUGUGUAGGAUAGGUGGGAGGCUUUGAAGUGUGGACGCCAGUCUGCAUGGAGCCGACCUUGAAAUACCACCCUUUAAUGUUUGAUGUUCUAACGUGGACCCGUUACCCGGGUUGCGGACAGUGUCUGGUGGGUAGUUUGACUGGGGCGGUCUCCUCCUAAAGAGUAACGGAGGAGCACGAAGGUUGGCUAAUCCUGGUCGGACAUCAGGAGGUUAGUGCAAUGGCAUAAGCCAGCUUGACUGCGAGCGUGACGGCGCGAGCAGGUGCGAAAGCAGGUCAUAGUGAUCCGGUGGUUCUGAAUGGAAGGGCCAUCGCUCAACGGAUAAAAGGUACUCCGGGGAUAACAGGCUGAUACCGCCCAAGAGUUCAUAUCGACGGCGGUGUUUGGCACCUCGAUGUCGGCUCAUCACAUCCUGGGGCUGAAGUAGGUCCCAAGGGUAUGGCUGUUCGCCAUUUAAAGUGGUACGCGAGCUGGGUUUAGAACGUCGUGAGACAGUUCGGUCCCUAUCUGCCGUGGGCGCUGGAGAACUGAGGGGGGCUGCUCCUAGUACGAGAGGACCGGAGUGGACGCAUCACUGGUGUUCGGGUUGUCAUGCCAAUGGCACUGCCCGGUAGCUAAAUGCGGAAGAGAUAAGUGCUGAAAGCAUCUAAGCACGAAACUUGCCCCGAG